UUUUCCUUUUCACAUGGCAACAGAGAAAAGAAUGCAGCAAACGAGGUCCUGGAACUGAUUCACACAGACAUGAAGGACAAAAAAGAACACAUACUGGGAAUUGUAUGCAAAAGGUGCAUCAAAAUCCUUUGCUGAGUGACAACGAGGGACUGAAAAUAAGGGUGGGGGAUGUACUGAAAGAAAACAAUGUGCCCGCAAGGAAAGCCUGAUCAUCUCUGGUAACCCUGCUAUGAUGUCAUUUCCAGCCAAUCAGGAGCGGUGCGCUGGAUUCUCAAGUCAGAAUGAUGCAGUUUCCAGUUCACAUCUGACCUGACAGCAGUGAGGAUGAUGACGAUGAUGAAGCUAAUCAUGCAUACAAGCACAAGCCAUACAGGUGCGAAGCGCUCUGCUCAGUGUGAUGGGAGAGUAGGUCAUAUCUGCAGGCUCUAAACUCAGGACAUGACAUCACUCUAAUGGUCGCGUGCUGCAUGACUCAUGGCUUUUAACUCUGGAUGUCAGUAUCUCUCAGGCCUGGACUUACGGUCAACAAAAUCUACAUAAACAUGCUGUUUACUAGAAAUAAACAGAGAACAAAAGAUGAUGACAUCACAUACAGUCAAAAAAAGAUAAAGACUUCAGUACUCUCAUUCAAAGAUAUUGAAAGCUGAAGGUCUGGCCGAGUGGUAUUUCACACAUGUGAAGGUCUACAAGAUCUUAAUUCAUGAAGGCGUGAAGAUGUAUCCCACGGUCUCACUACACCCACAGGAUCCUUC